AGUAGGGUGGCUGAAUUAUAGGCUGUAAAUUGUAAAUUUAUAUAUGGUUAAUUACCUCCUGC
rnacentral:tRNA from 1 species